CCGGCACCACCGUGGCCGCGUCUGCUCCAUGAAAUGCUCCCUCCGUGUGGGGUUCAGCACAGCCAGGACAGAACCCAGACCUCCCGGGUCUGUGCACAGACAGCUCUCCCUGUGCUCCUGCUGCUCCUCCCGGCACGGAGCAGCACCAGGGCUCUGCCAGGAAAGGGCUCUGGGAAAGGCACGGAGCACUCACACCCUGGGCAGGGAAGCACACGCAGAGCCAGCCACCUCCAUCCUGGCACGGCUGCUUCAUCCCCAUCCCAACCCGGCUGCUUCAUCCCCAUCCCGGCACGGCUGCUUCAUCCCAAUCCUGGCAUGGCUGCUUCAUCCCCAUCCUGGCACGGCUGCUUCAUCCCCAUCCCAGCCCGGCUGCUUCAUCCCCAUCCCGGCACAGCUGGUUCAUCCCAAUCCUGGCAUGGCUGGCUCCUCUCUCCAUCCCAGCCUGGCUGCUUCAUCCCAAUCCUGGCAUGGCUGCUUCAUCCCCAUCCCGGCACGGCUGCUUCAUCCCAAUCCUGGCAUGGCUGGCUCCUCUCUCCAUCCCAGCACGGCUGGCUCUCGUUUCUCCAUCCUGGCACUUCUGGCUCAUCUCCAUCCUGGCAUGGCUGCUUCAUCCCAAUCCUGGCAUGGCUGCUUCAUCCCCAUCCCAGCCCGGCUGCUUCAUCCCCAUACCAGCACAGCUGGUUCAUCCCCAUCCCGGCAGGGCUGGCUCCUCUCCCCAUCCCAGCACGGCUGGCUCUUGUUUCUCCAUCCUGGUACUUCUGGCUCAUCUCCAUCCCGGCAGGGCUGGCUCAUCCCCAUCCCAGCAGGGCUGGCUCCUCUCCCCAUCCCGGCAGGGCUGGCUCUCCUCUCUCCAUCCCGGCAGGGCUGGCUCCUCUCCAUCCCGGCAGGGCUGGCUCCUCUCCCCAUCCCGGCAGGGCUGGCUCAUCCCCAUCCCAGCAGGGCUGGCUCCUCUCCAUCCCGGCAGGGCUGGCUCCUCUCCCCAUCCCGGCAGGGCUGGCUCUCCUCUCUCCAUCCCGGCAGGGCUGGCUCUCCUCUCUCCAUCCCGGCAGGGCUGGCUCCUCUCCAUCCCGGCAGGGCUGGCUCCUGCAGCUCCCCUCCAGCCAUGCCGGUGCUUACACAACCCAGCCGAGCCCUGGGCUUGCAUAAAGACAAACACCCUCGUGUGCCAACAGCGAGCUGUGCUCACCUGCAUAACCCCCCCAGCCCUCUCCAGGAGGGUGCUGCUCUGUGCUGUGAGUCCCAGCUGAGGCAGGAUUAUGUGGUUUGUGCAGUUCCAGCUCCCAGGCAGCUGUCACAGCUCUCACACGCCGAGUUUCCUCCUUGUCAGCCAGGCUGUAGGACAGGGCCAUACCCCAGGCACAGAAUGGUUUGGGUGAGAAGGGAUCUUAAAGCUCAUUUAGUUCAAUUUCCCUGCCAUGGCAGGGACACCUUCCACUGUCCCAGGCUGCUCCCAGCCCUGUCCAGCCUGGCCUUGGGCACUGCCAGGGAUCCAGGGGCAGCCACAGCUGCUCUGGGCACCCUGUGCCAGGGCAUGCCCACCCUGCCAGGUAACAAAGACCAAAGGUGUUUGGUAAUCAGGCUGGACAUGCUACAGGGGAGGGCACAGUCCCCCUACAGCCCCUGUCACCAGGUGCCACACCUUGUGCACC
rnacentral:lncRNA from 1 species